rnacentral:rRNA from 1 species
GUGUCAGCCGCCGCGGUAAUACGUAGGGUCCGAGCGUUGUCCGGAAUUAUUGGGCGUAAAGGGCUCGUAGGCGGUUUGUUGCGUCGGGAGUGAAAACUCGGAGCUUAACUCCGAGCUUGCUUCCGAUACGGGCAGACUAGAGGUAGGCAGGGGAGAGCGGAACUCCUGGUGUAGCGGUGGAAUGCGCAGAUAUCAGGAAGAACACCGGUGGCGAAGGCGGCUCUCUGGGCCUAUUCUGACGCUGAGGAGCGAAAGCGUGGGUAGCGAACAGGAUUAGAAACCCCCGUAGUCC